GAUGAACGCUGGCGGCGUGCCUAAUACAUGCAAGUCGAGCGAACGGACGAGAAGCUUGCUUUUCUGAUGUUAGCGGCGGACGGGUGAGUAACACGUGGAUAACCUACCUAUAAGACUGGGAUAACUUCGGGAAACCGGAGCUAAUACCGGAUAAUAUUUUGAACCGCAUGGUUCAAAAGUGAGAGACGGUCUUGCUGUCACUUAUAGAUGGAUCCGCGCUGCAUUAGCUAGUUGGUAAGGUAACGGCUUACCAAGGCAACGAUGCAUAGCCGACCUGAGAGAGUGAUCGGCCACACUGGAACUGAGACACGGUCCAGACUCCUACGGGAGGCAGCAGUAGGGAAUCUUCCGCAAUGGGCGAAAGCCUGACGGAGCAACGCCGCGUGAGUGAUGAAGGUCUUCGGAUCGUAAAACUCUGUUAUUAGGGAAGAACAUAUGUGUAAGUAACUGUGCACAUCUUGACGGUACCUAAUCAGAAAGCCACGGCUAACUACGUG
rnacentral:rRNA from 1 species